rnacentral:lncRNA from 1 species
AAAUUCAGUCACAACUAUUUCCGCCGACGAAGACGACGGCGUGUUUGGAAUAAUGGACAUUUACAUAAAGAGUGAUAUCCACUGUGAUGUUAACAAUAUCUGCACCACAGGGAUGUGCACAGAGACAGCAGACUUUGGAUAUUUAUUCUUUUCUCUUUCUAAUUUCUACAAGUGAUAUAACACCAUUAAAAUGAUAUCAGUUAAAC